UGCCAGCCGCCGCGGUAAUACGGAGGGUGCAAGCAUUAAUCGGAUUUACUGGGCGUAAAGCGCGCGUAGGCGGAUGUUUAAGUUUCAUGUGAAAGCCCUGGGCUCAACCGUGGAAGUGCAUUUGAAACUGGAUGGCUUGAGUACUGGAGGGGGUGGUGGAAUUCCCGGUGUAGAGGUGAAAUUCGUAGAUAUCGGGAGGAAUACCGGUGGCGAAGGCGACCACCUGGCCAGAUACUGACGCUGAGGUGCGAAAGCGUGGGGAGCAAACAGGAUUAGAUA
rnacentral:rRNA from 1 species